CUCUUCCUUCUUUAGAAAGCAUCGCUGAGCAUUUGUUGUUCCCUAGUGUUGAGGGAAGCGUCUGGUAGCAUUUCAGUUAACGGAAUUUGAGGCACUCUCCUUUCCGUCCGUUUGUUAGAAUCUUGGUUUUAACCGUAAAAUUGCAGCCGUUGAGAGGGCUUGGGUUCUAGCUAGUACGCAGUAGCUACGGUAAGUGACUGGAGACAAAUGCAGACGAGCGCGGAGCUCCAGGCAGCCUCUGGGCCCAGGAUAGCACCUGCGUACACUGUUCCCUAAAUCGGAGGCACUUAGCCUUUCGGGAAACAGAGUCCGGAUCCCCAAUUUGCUGUCUUUUUACCUCUGCCUGCAGGACUUUCUUUAACAUUUCUAGUUGAUAUUUUAUCAGGAAGUUGGUGGAUCUCUACCUGAUUCCUCAGGGUUUAUGUUGUAAAUGAGAGGACCCUUGUGGAUGUGGAAGCUUGCCAGCAUCUUCAGGUGACGGCAGCAAAGUCCAGAGGUAAAGAGGAAACUGUAUGUCCUUAGAUGGGGAUGGAUUCAUUUGGAGAAGUUUCAACUUGGCGAUUCUGUGCAGCAGUCCUGAGGACCGGACCAGCACGGAGAGUACAAGGCUGCCCAGAGCCCUUGUGAAGGUGCCUCCCACCAGAGGAUGAAGACAGGCCCCCUGUGCAGAAGCGGAGGAUGACUCCUGUCCCUGCCAGGCAAUGCAGAGUGAAGAAGUUUGGUAAAUAGUCACAGCCCCUGAGGCGGGUAGAAAUCCAUUUGAACAGCACACAAGCAAUUCAGACUGACAUAUAAGAAGGUCAGAAGACAGUUCUCCUGCCUACUCUGCCAUGGACUAUUUCCCCUCUGCAGUGUCUCUCUGCCAUGGUGCCCUGCCUUGGAGCCAGCUGAUAAUAGAUUGAAACCUCUGCAAACUGUGAGCCAGAAUAAACCUUUCCUCUUUUUAACCUGGGGGUGUUGAGUAUUUUGCCCCAGCAAUAAAAAAUAAGUAAGACAACCAGACCUCCAACUUCCACCUCAAUGGCAGUUUGAAUUAGAAAUGUAAAAUUUAGAACCAAAAUUCUGGUUGCUCAUUGUCCCUCCAUGGACUCCCCAGCUCCGGGAGGAAGUACGAUGUGCUGAUUAUCUUUGGCUUCUUCUGGAAGAGUCUGGAAUCUUCUAGAUUAUCCAAACAAGAGGCUUCUCUGAUCCAUCCCUGGACUGUGAUUGAUGUCAGCUUGGUCUUUGUGCUGAAAUAGCUCACCUUCCCCAGGCCCAGAGAUCCGGAAGGUGGGGAGAGAGACCCUGUCAGCCUUCAUGGGGCCAUUUUUCUAGAUGAGAAUAUUGACACAUUAAGUCACUAGCAGCUACAGUUUCAGUCAACUUACAAAUCCACCGUCAUCUCUUUUUUUUUGGUACUGGGGAUCGAACUCAGGACCUUGUGUUUGUGAGGCAGGUGGCGGCACCACUGAGCUAGAUCCCCAGCCCACCGACCCCUUUAUUCUUAACUGCAGUCCUGAGCCCUCAUUUCCAGUUGUGGUUCACAGACAUUUUGCACCUCACUCCAAAACUCACUCAGGAAGCUUUAGGUUAGACCCAGCUUCCUGCUUUAUAAGAAAGACUGACUUACGGUGAUUAUGCCUGGGGACUAGAGUACCUUGGGAGAAGAUGGAGUGUGUUGUGUGCACUCACACUUUUGCUUUUUCCCUUACUUCACAUCUGCACUUCUUACCACACUGCAAACAUAACUAAACAUCAUGACCAUGAAACCACAUACUCAAUCCCCAAUCCCAUUUCCUUAUGUGUCACUAACAUAUCUGUCCCUAAAUUUGGCUGAUUGCACACAACUUAAGUCUUUGCCUCCUACUCUGUGCAAACCCAUCCGGUAAUGUGUCAAUGGCAGGGUGCCACCCUGAAGUGCAUAUUUGUAAAUGUGCCAUCAUACUGACAAAUACCUGUGACCCUAAAUUUGAAGAUGGAUAGUUAAUUAUUCAGGGGGAGAAAUUCCUCCAGAAGCAGUGGCACAGGGGACAGGAAGAUCUCCCAGGUGGGCUCAGGUCAUAAGCACUGUGGAUAUGAACUAGGAUGAACACAUAGCAAUAAUUCUCUUCCAUUUCUGAAUAUGCAGCCUGUUCCAUUUGAUACCUCCUUGUUCCACAUUCACUUUGUUGUAACUAAAUCCUGACAAACAGUAGAAAUACAACUUUUAGGGAGAAAUGGAAAUUUAUGCCUAGUGGGUAUUCACUGGGGACAAAAAUCAG
rnacentral:lncRNA from 1 species